GAUGAACGCUGGCGGCGUGCCUAAUACAUGCAAGUCGAGCGAACAGACGAGGAGCUUGCUCCUCUGACGUUAGCGGCGGACGGGUGAGUAACACGUGGAUAACCUACCUAUAAGACUGGGAUAACUUCGGGAAACCGGAGCUAAUACCGGAUAAUAUAUUGAACCGCAUGGUUCAAUAGUGAAAGACGGUUUUGCUGUCACUUAUAGAUGGAUCCGCGCCGCAUUAGCUAGUUGGUAAGGUAACGGCUUACCAAGGCAACGAUGCGUAGCCGACCUGAGAGGGUGUUCCGCCACGCCGGAUCUGACACGCGACCCAGGCCCCGACGGGAGGCCCAGAUAGGGACUCUUGCCAAAAGGGGGGAAGCCUGCAGGAGCGGCGGCGGCGGGGUGAAGAAGGUCUGCGGGCUGGAAAACUCUUUUCUGGGGGAAAAACAAAUGUGUAAGUAACUAUGCGCGUGUGACGGUUACCGACACAGAAACCCCGGCCAACUCCCUU
rnacentral:rRNA from 1 species